GACGAACGCUGGCGGCGUGCUUAACACAUGCAAGUCGAACGGAAAGGCCCUGCUUUUGUGGGGUGCUCGAGUGGCGAACGGGUGAGUAACACGUGAGUAACCUGCCCUUGACUUUGGGAUAACUUCAGGAAACUGGGGCUAAUACCGGAUAGGAGCUCCUGCUGCAUGGUGGGGGUUGGAAAGUUUCGGCGGUUGGGGAUGGACUCGCGGCUUAUCAGCUUGUUGGUGGGGUAGUGGCUUACCAAGGCUUUGACGGGUAGCCGGCCUGAGAGGGUGACCGGCCACAUUGGGACUGACAUACGGCCCAGACUCCUACGGGAGGCAGCAGUGGGGAAUAUUGCACAAUGGGCGGAAGCCUGAUGCAGCAACGCCGCGUGCGGGAUGACGGCCUUCGGGUUGUAACCCGCUUUCGCCUGUGACGAAGCGUGAGUGACGGUAAUGGGUAAAGAAGCACCGGCUAACUACGUG
rnacentral:rRNA from 1 species